UUUUCAAAAAGUUCGUUGAGUUGUAACCCCGAGUUGAUUCUAGGAGAAAGAUGGGGAUUGGAUUCAAUUCUAGUGUUGUUUGGGUUACUCCUGCUUAUUACAGGCCUCAAGUUCACAAUACCAUUAGACUCGUUCACAGUUUUUCUUUUUUACUUUUUAGUUGUCGUUACCAACUCGAGCAUAAUUCAACUAAGAAGGCUCGAUAUUUAAAUCUCAAUCCUCGCUCGCAUGUGGUUGAACUUAAAAGAAACUAUUGAAUGAUCUCAAAGAAUGACCAUUUUCA